UACAGAGGUCCCGAGCGUUGUUCGGAUUCACUGGGCGUAAAGGGUGCGUAGGCGGUUCUGAAAGUCUGAUGUGAAAUCUCCGGGCCCAACCCGGAAAUGGCAUUAGAAACUACAGGGCUAGAGGCUUGGAGGGGGAACUGGAAUUCUCGGUGUAGCAGUGAAAUGCGUAGGGAUCGAGAGGAACACCAGCGGCGAAGGCGAGUUCCUGGACAAGUCCUGACGCUGAGGCACGAAAGCCAGGGGAGCAAACAGG
rnacentral:rRNA from 1 species